rnacentral:rRNA from 1 species
CGGGGUGCACCAGGCGCGAAAACUUUACAAUGCCGGCAACGGCGAUAAGGGAACCUCGAGUGCCAGGUUACAAAUCUGGCUGUCGUGAUGCCUAAAAAGCAUUGCAUAGCAAGGGCCGGGCAAGACCGGUGCCAGCCGCCGCGGUAACACCGGCGGCUCGAGUGGUAACCGUUAUUAUUGGGUCUAAAGGGUCUGUAGCCGGCCGGGUAAGUCUCUUGGGAAAUCUGGCAGCUUAACUGUCAGGCUUUCAGGAGAUACUGCCUGACUCGAGGCCGGGAGAGGUGAGAGGUACUUCAGGGGUAGGGGUGAAAUCUUGUAAUCCUUGAAGGACCACCAGUGGCGAAGGCGUCUCACCAGAACGGACCUGACGGCAAGGGACGAAAGCUAGGGGCACGAACCGGAUUAGAUACCCGGGUAGUCCUAGCCGUAAACGAUACUCGCUAGGUGUCGGCCACGGUGCGACCGUGGUCGGUGCCGUAGGGAAGCCGUGAAGCGAGCCACCUGGGAAGUACGGCCGCAAGGCUGAAACUUAAAGGAAUUGGCGGGGGAGCACAAGGGCGAUUGCG